UACAGAGGAUGCAAGCGUUAUCCGGAAUGAUUGGGCGUAAAGCGUCUGUAGGUGGCUUUUUAAGUCCGCCGUCAAAUCCCAGGGCUCAACUCUGGACAGGCGGUGGAAACUACCAAGCUGGAGUACGGUAGGGGCAGAGGGAAUUUCCGGUGGAGCGGUGAAAUGCGUAGAGAUCGGAAGGAACAUCGGUGGCGAAAGCGGCGCGCUGGACCUCUUCUGACGCUGAGGCGCGAAAGCCAGGGGAGCAAACGGG
rnacentral:rRNA from 1 species